rnacentral:rRNA from 2 species
GGCUGCGAUCAAACCAGCACUAAAGCACAGGAUCCCAUCAGAACUCCGAACUUAAGCAUGCUUGGGCGAGAGUAGUACUAGGAUGGGUGACCUCCUGGGAAGUCCUCGUGUUGCAUUCC